rnacentral:rRNA from 1 species
AUUGAACGCUGGCGGCAGGCCUAACACAUGCAAGUCGAGCGGAGCGGCGGACGGGUGAGUAAUGUAUGGGGAUCUGCCCGAUAGAGGGGGAUAACUACUGGAAACGGGCGCUAAUACCGCAUACUAUCAGAUGCGCCUAGGUCGGAUUAGCUAGUUGGUGGGGUAAAGGCCUACCAAGGCGACGAUCCGUAACUGGUCUGAGAGGAUGAUCAGUCACACUGGAACUGAGACACGGUCCAGAUGCCUACGGGAGGCAGCAGUGGGGAAUAUUGGACAAUGGGCGAAAGCCUGAUCCAGCCAUGCCGCAGGGGGGAUGAAGGCUUUCGGGUUGUAAACCUCUUUCGCUAUCGAACGGGUAGGUGGAGAAGAAGCGCCGGCUAACUACGUGCCAGCAGCCGCGGUAAUAC